GUUCAACUUGUGAUGACAAUCCCAAUGUGAGGAUACAAAUGAAACCCCCUUUAGUCUGCCUAGAGCAAAACCUAUUAAUAUUACGUUUCUCCUCCCAUACUCUAUGAACCAGACCUUCUGUAAUCUCUGAUUCCACUUUUAUUUUUACCAUGUCUUCUUCUCCAUCUUGGUUCCAUUUGCUGAAAAGUCUUCAUUGUGUAGGGGUCAGGAAAGGGGUGCCAGGGGAGUGCUUGUUUAGAAGUGAUUGCCUAGCAACUCACUCCCUUCCUUAUUCCUAGGACAGAGGCUAUUUGCAUUUUGGGAAUGAAGAGGAAGAAAAAAGUCUCACUUCUCAUGAGCCCUGGGGUGAAAAUGUCUUGCUGACUACUCCUCAAAGGGACCUUCCUUCCUCUGAGAACUGCCCCUGGGUGGUCAGCAGGCACCCGCUUCUGGGAGAGCCCUUUCCAAGGUGCUCCUGGAGCUGUCUGGGGCAGUGAGUGCCGCUGGGCACUGCCAAACUGCAGCCCCAGGCAGCACCAGGACAGGGCUCAGAACAUCCUGAUCUUAUUCAAGUGGGCACUGCUUUCCCACACUGUUCUUUCCUUUUGCAGCUUUCUUCCCUGGAUAUGGGCCACAAAUAGGGGCUGUCUAGGCCUGCUGCCCUUAACUCCCAAGCUGCCAGCAAGUUCCUUGCACCACGGAGGGAGAGCAGAAGCCAGCAGGGACAAUGGAAGAGCAGCAGAGAGAAACCUACUCUGGAUGUUCUUAGUUGACCUCAGGAGCAGGAGGACUUAAGGACCCAUGGAUGUUCCAGAGCUGAAUGAGCCACCAAGAAAGACCGUUCUGGCCAAAUGUGACCUUGAGUGAAUGUUCCCUCUGUGGCUAAGUUGGAUUUGGCUGACAGCUGGAAGAAUAAUGAAGCAGUCAUCUGGUAAGAGGUUGAAUCAAACAUUCUCUAAGUUUCCUUGUUCUGCUUACCAUUACUCAAUUUUUCUCUUAACUACUGCCACUUAAUUACUCACAGUCAGUUGUGCUUCAAAGCCAUGAACAAUUUGGGUAUUUUCUUCUCUGGGACAUGGGGAAACAGUUGGGCAUAGUCUUUAAACUACUUAAAUACCUAUGUCAUAAAUACAAUGAGACAUUCUGCUUCACACAGUUUAGAGUAGUCCAUGCACACACAAUCAAUGCCUUUGAAAAACUCCUGUGAAGCUUGGCAAGUUUGAAAGAAGCAAGGAGAACAUGGAAUGUGUGCUGCUUGGAGAGCACAAUUAGAACCAUAGUUGUUUUUGGAAGCAGAGUGUUCAUGCUUCUCUGUGCACAGAGCACCAAGAUCUGGUCACAUCCUGUCUGUUUAGGCUAAAAUAAAUUUAUAGAAAUGAGAAAAUGGUUGAAUCAAACAUUCUCUAGGUUUCCUUGCUCUGCUUACCAUUACUCAAUUUUUCUUAUUUCAAUUGUCAGGUUAAAGACGGUGGAAUCUUUGCAUGAUGAGGAUCUUGAGAUGUUAUCUAAAACAUAUACAAUCUUAAAAAUAGGAUCCCCUAACUAAAGAAAAUAAAAGUGCAUUGUAUCAGUAUGAAUUUGUCUCUAAGACUUCAAAUGCGUAGCAUUUACGUAGUAUAAAGACUAAACCACCAAAACACAUCAAAGUUUUGUUACUGGCCAAUGUUAUGGCUUAUGUCUAGAUGCUCCCCCUGCCAAAGCUUCAUGUGAUCACAG
rnacentral:lncRNA from 1 species